rnacentral:misc_RNA from 1 species
AAGUCGUAACAAGGUUUCCGUAGGUGAACCUGCGGAAGGAUCAUUAUUGAACAAUCAAACCAAUGUGGGCAAGUUGUAGCUGGCCUCUCGGGGCAUGUGCACGCUUGUCUGCAAUUGUUCUCCAUCCACCUGUGAACAUUUUGUAGAUUUGCGAAGCUUACGGGACGAGGGGCAACCUUCUCAAGUAAUGAUUCGCGGUCUAUGUUUCAUAAACACCAUUGAAUGUCAAAGAAUGUCUUGUUAUAUUCAAAUACAAAUAUAACUUUCAGCAACGGAUCUCUUGGCUCUC